rnacentral:rRNA from 1 species
UACGUAGGGGCCUAGCGUUGUCCGGAUUUAUUGGGCGUAAAGAGCUCGUAGGCGGUUUGGUGAGUCGGGUGUGAAAUCUCCACGCUCAACGUGGAGGGGCCACCCGAUACUGCCAUGACUAGAGUCCGGUAGGGGAGUGUGGAAUUCCCGGUGUAGCGGUGAAAUGCGCAGAUAUCGGGAGGAACACCGGUGGCGAAGGCGGCAUCCUGGACCGACAUUGACGCUGAGGCGCGAAGCCAGGGAGCAAACGGG